AGCAGUAUAACUGAGCUUUUGACCCAGGUCGACUCCCUGUUCUCAAAACGAGAGAGAUUAUACACAGCAAAGUAGGAAAUGGUGGUUACCAAAUUCUUUCCCAAGAGCCUCCUUCACAAGUAGUCCAUGAAAGUGUAGAUGAAUUUUUUGAUCUGACGCAUUCCACGUGUUCACCAUCCACAACAAAAGUAGAUGUGCAUCCUGACAUGCCAAAGAAUGAGGAGGGAUGGGCAUCUGAAAAUUGGAACACUCAUCUUGGAAUAAGCAGAGCUGAGCCUAUGAAUGAGGAGCAUGCAAACAAGAUUAAGUCAAUUAUGUCUGGUAUUGUGCUGCCAUCUGCAUCACAACCAGCGUGGGCUAAUUUAUUUCCGGACCAAGUAUGGAAACAGAAGCUUAUAACUGAGUUGAGCACCAAGAAGACUGGAAGUAAUUGAUAGUCAAAGUCCUUGCUGAGAGUAACUGUGACAUCUCGUCUGCCAGUCGACUUUGUUUUUUCUACACCUUGCUGAAGCAUAUCAAGGUUCUUUGCUGGGCCUACCCAAGCUCACAAGGCGACACUGAGAAUAUAGUACUGUUCUUCUUCCACGGGCGGAUUCAGACCGUAUUUGCCGUAUUGGGAAAUACGGUCUAGAUUUCAAAGUGCCCUUCGAAAUUUUGCGC
rnacentral:misc_RNA from 1 species